ACCGACGCUGCUCUUCUCUGGUGAGUCGUCGGAGCUGAGCGCACAACCGCCAAUAUAUCACUGACUUCACUCCGCAGACCAGAAGGAAAGCGAAACUUUGAGUCUCCUUUUAAUUAUCUCGCUCACGUAAAGUCCGGUCAUUCUGCCUCAUGCGACACCAUGGGGAAGAUUUACCAAGUCAUAGUGAUCGGGUUGAACGGAGAGAACAUGACCAUCGACCUGUGUAACACUGAAGAACAGAUGAAGGCGAUGACAGUGCUGCAGCUCAAGAACAAGUUAGGCGAGCGUCUUCCAGGCCGGGCAGGGAAGAGCGUGGACAACAUCCGCCUGAUCUUCACAACCGAUGGGCUGGAUGACGACGAGAGGACCCUGGUCUCUUAUGGAGUUCAACACAAGUCCGCGAUCCAAAUGGUGAUCAAGGUCCCGGGCGGAGUCCAGCUCUAGCGACAACAGUGAAGCCCUGACACCCCGACCACCCCGACCACCCCCUGACCAGCGAGCACUUUGAUAUUGUACAGUUCAUCAUGCGUUGAUGUGAAUGAUUGUCAUCGUCAACUAUGUAGCAUAGGCUACUUGUUGGAUAACUUAAUGACGUAUUAAACCGAAUGCCUGGACAAUA